UUUCUUUAAGUGAAAAAGAAAUGCAUUUAUAUAUAAACUCACAGAUAAAUUUGUCCAUUUUUUUCCCAGUCGAUUUAACAAGCAAAUAAAAUCAAGAAAUUUACACACAUUCCCCAAUGAUUUGCAAAAGGAAGAUAUUUUAGCAGAAGAACAUUUGAACACUUACCAAACUAACCAGCAGCUUUUUACUUUAACAACCUUUGAAAAAUAUGUAACUCUGUAACAUCCUGUGCACCUGGGAAGUAGUUUUGAAGCAACC
rnacentral:lncRNA from 12 species